GCGAGUGUAGCUCAGUUGGUAGAGCAUUAGCUUCCCAAGCUAAGGGUCGCGGGUUCGAAUCCCGUCACUCGCU
rnacentral:tRNA from 1 species